GAUGAAGAACGCAGCGAAAUGCGAUAAGUAAUGUGAAUUGCAGAAUUCAGUGAAUCAUCGAAUCUUUGAACGCAUCUUGCGCUCCUUGGUAUUCUGAGGAGCAUGCCUGUUUGAGUGUCAUUAAAUUCUCAACUACACUGACUUUGAAUUGGUGUGGCUUGGAUUUGGGGGGAAAAUUGUUGUGGGCUUUUUGUAUAGUCUGCUCCCCUGAAAUUGAUUAGCGGUACCUUUGUGGAACUGUCUACAGGUGUGAUAAUUAUCUACAUCUUAGACAUCUGCUGGAAUGCUGCUUUCUAAACCUUACUUGUAUUGACAAUCUUGACCUCAAAUCAGGUAGGACUACCCGCUGAACUUAAGCAUAUCAAUAAGGGAGGA
rnacentral:misc_RNA from 1 species